GGGUCUAGUGGAGUAUCCCUAGAGGUAUUAUUUGAUGGUCGGGCCGCCAUCC
rnacentral:ncRNA from 12 species